GCUUUAUUGCACUUCACAGAUGUUGUGCUUUUUACAAAUUGAAAGGAAACCCUUCACCAUCAAAAGAUUAUGACUUACUUUAUUGCAAUACAUGCUUUA